rnacentral:rRNA from 1 species
AACGAACGCUGGCGGCAUGCUUAACACAUGCAAGUCGAACGAAACAUUCGGGCCUGGUUGCGCACGGGUGCGGAACGUUGGGGGACCUGCACUUAGGUUCGCAAUCCGCCACCGUAAGGUGUGGUAAUAACAGAGAAAGUAAUAGGACCAAAGAUUUAUCGCCUCAGGAUGGGGCCGGGUUGGAUUAGAUAGUUGGUAGGGUAAAAGCCUACCAAGGCGACGAUCGCUAGCUGGUCGGAGAGGAUGAUCAGACACACUGGGACUGAGACACGGCCCAGACGCCUACGGGGGGCAGCAGUGGGGUAUAUUGGACAAUGGACGCAAGUCUGAGCCAGCAAUGCCGCGUGAGUGAUGAAGGACUUAGGGAUGUAAAGCUCUCUUAGCAGGGAGGAGAAUGACGGUACCGGGAAAAUAAGCCCCGGCUAACUACGUG